AGAUGUCAUGACAAUGCAGUCUGCUGGCGUAUUAGUUCGUAAUAAAAACGGUAGAUAUCAUGACAAUGCAGUAAGCUGUGCGUGACAUUCAAUUGUUCCAAGGAAUUUUUGCUGUGCCUGUUUCUUGAGAACAUUUCUGGUUGGAACAUCCUCCUCGUCUUCGGAUGGAACGGCAGCCGGUAUCGCUGAUAAUGGAAAUCGCGGGAAAAGUUGUCCGCCAUUUUUCCCUAAGAUGUAUUGAGAGAUCCCAUUUUGAUGCUUCAUUUCUGGAGUAAUGAAAAAUGCUGCAAAAUCGGAAACAUUGGCUUCGACCCUACUUUCAGAGCCAACAAUGUACGUAA